rnacentral:rRNA from 1 species
GGUUAAGCGACUAAGCGUACACGGUGGAUGCCCUGGCAGUCAGAGGCGAUGAAGGACGUGCUAAUCUGCGAUAAGCGUCGGUAAGGUGAUAUGAACCGUUAUAACCGGCGAUUUCCGAAUGGGGAAACCCAGUGUGUUUCGACACACUAUCAUUACGUGAAUACAUAGCGUAAUGAAGCGAACCGGGGGAACUGAAACAUCUAAGUACCCCGAGGAAAAGAAAUCAACCGAGAUUCCCCCAGUAGCGGCGAGCGAACGGGGAGCAGCCCAGAGUCUGAAUCAGCUUGUGUGUUAGUGGAACGGUCUGGAAAGUCCGACGGUACAGGGUGAUAGUCCCGUACACCAAAAUGCACAGGUUGUGAACUCGAAGAGUAGGGCGGGACACGUGGUAUCCUGUCUGAAUAUGGGGGGACCAUCCUCCAAGGCUAAAUACUCCUGACUGACCGAUAGUGAACCAGUACCGUGAGGGAAAGGCGAAAAGAACCCCGGCGAGGGGAGUGAAAAAGAACCUGAAACCGUGUACGUACAAGCAGUGGGAGCCUCUUUAUGGGGUGACUGCGUACCUUUUGUAUAAUGGGUCAGCGACUUAUAUUCUGUAGCAAGGUUAACCGUAUAGGGGAGCCGAAGGGAAACCGAGUCUUAACUGGGCGUUAAGUUGCAGGGUAUAGACCCGAAACCCGGUGAUCUAGCCAUGGGCAGGUUGAAGGUUGGGUAACACUAACUGGAGGACCGAACCGACUAAUGUUGAAAAAUUAGCGGAUGACUUGUGGCUGGGGGUGAAAGGCCAAUCAAACCGGGAGAUAGCUGGUUCUCCCCGAAAGCUAUUUAGGUAGCGCCUCGUGAAUUCAUCUUCGGGGGUAGAGCACUGUUUCGGCUAGGGGGUCAUCCCGACUUACCAACCCGAUGCAAACUGCGAAUACCGAAGAAUGUUAUCACGGGAGACACACGGCGGGUGCUAACGUCCGUCGUGAAGAGGGAAACAACCCAGACCGCCAGCUAAGGUCCCAAAGUCAUGGUUAAGUGGGAAACGAUGUGGGAAGGCACAGACAGCCAGGAUGUUGGCUUAGAAGCAGCCAUCAUUUAAAGAAAGCGUAAUAGCUCACUGGUCGAGUCGGCCUGCGCGGAAGAUGUAACGGGGCUAAACCAUGCACCGAAGCUGCGGCAGCGACACUAUGUGUUGUUGGGUAGGGGAGCGUUCUGUAAGCCGUUGAAGGUGUGCUGUGAGGCAUGCUGGAGGUAUCAGAAGUGCGAAUGCUGACAUAAGUAACGAUAAUGCGGGUGAAAAACCCGCACGCCGGAAGACCAAGGGUUCCUGUCCAACGUUAAUCGGGGCAGGGUGAGUCGACCCCUAAGGCGAGGCCGAAAGGCGUAGUCGAUGGGAAACAGGUUAAUAUUCCUGUACUUGGUGUUACUGCGAAGGGGGGACGGAGAAGGCUAUGUUAGCCGGGCGACGGUUGUCCCGGUUUAAGCAUGUAGGCGGAGGUUCCAGGUAAAUCCGGUACCUUAUUAAACGCUGAGGUGUGAUGACGAGGCACUACGGUGCUGAAGUAACAAAUGCCCUGCUUCCAGGAAAAGCCUCUAAGCAUCAGGUAACACGAAAUCGUACCCCAAACCGACACAGGUGGUCAGGUAGAGAAUACCAAGGCGCUUGAGAGAACUCGGGUGAAGGAACUAGGCAAAAUGGUGCCGUAACUUCGGGAGAAGGCACGCUGAUAUGUAGGUGAAGUGAUUUACUCAUGGAGCUGAAAUCAGUCGAAGAUACCAGCUGGCUGCAACUGUUUAUUAAAAACACAGCACUGUGCAAACACGAAAGUGGACGUAUACGGUGUGACGCCUGCCCGGUGCCGGAAGGUUAAUUGAUGGGGUUAUCCGUAAGGAGAAGCUCUUGAUCGAAGCCCCGGUAAACGGCGGCCGUAACUAUAACGGUCCUAAGGUAGCGAAAUUCCUUGUCGGGUAAGUUCCGACCUGCACGAAUGGCGUAAUGAUGGCCAGGCUGUCUCCACCCGAGACUCAGUGAAAUUGAACUCGCUGUGAAGAUGCAGUGUACCCGCGGCAAGACGGAAAGACCCCGUGAACCUUUACUAUAGCUUGACACUGAACACUGGUCCUUGAUGUGUAGGAUAGGUGGGAGGCUUUGAAGUGUGGACGCCAGUCUGCAUGGAGCCAUCCUUGAAAUACCACCCUUUAAUGGCUGGUGUUCUAACGUGGACCCGUUACCCGGGUUGCGGACAGUGUCUGGUGGGUAGUUUGACUGGGGCGGUCUCCUCCUAAAGAGUAACGGAGGAGCACGAAGGUUAGCUAAUCCUGGUCGGACAUCAGGAGGUUAGUGCAAAGGCAUAAGCUAGCUUGACUGCGAGAGUGACGGCUCGAGCAGGUGCGAAAGCAGGUCUUAGUGAUCCGGUGGUUCUGAAUGGAAGGGCCAUCGCUCAACGGAUAAAAGGUACUCCGGGGAUAACAGGCUGAUACCGCCCAAGAGUUCAUAUCGACGGCGGUGUUUGGCACCUCGAUGUCGGCUCAUCACAUCCUGGGGCUGAAGUAGGUCCCAAGGGUAUGGCUGUUCGCCAUUUAAAGUGGUACGCGAGCUGGGUUUAGAACGUCGUGAGACAGUUCGGUCCCUAUCUGCCGUGGGCGCUGGAGAAUUGAGGGGGGCUGCUCCUAGUACGAGAGGACCGGAGUGGACGCAUCACUGGUGUUCGGGUUGUCAUGCCAAUGGCAUUGCCCGGUAGCUAAAUGCGGAAGAGAUAAGUGCUGAAAGCAUCUAAGCACGAAACUUGCCCCGAGAUGAGUUCUCCCUGAGACUAUAAGUCUCCUGAAGGAACGUUAAAGACGAUGACGUUGAUAGGUCGGGUGUGUAAGUGUAGCGAUACAUUGAGCUAACCGAUACUAAUGAACCGUGAGGCUUAACCUU